GCUUAUCACCAUUCCAGAUUGAAUAUACCCAAUCUCGUCUGAUCUCGGAAGUUAAGCAAUCUCGGGCUUGGUUAGUACUUGGAUGGGUGACCGCUUGGGAAUACCAAGUGUGAUAAGCA
rnacentral:rRNA from 1 species